CCUACGGGUGGCAGCAGUGAGGAAUAUUGGUCAAUGGCCGAGAGGCUGAACCAGCCAAGUCGCGUGAGGGAAGACGGCCCUACGGGUUGUAAACCUCUUUUGUCGGGGAGCAAAGAGAGUCACGUGUGACUCAUUGAGAGUACCCGCAAAAAAAGCAUCGGCUAACGCCGUGCCAGCAGCCGCGGUAAUACGGAGGAUCCGAGCGUGAUCCGGAGUUAUUGGGUUUAAAGGGUGCUGAGGCGGCCUUUUAAGUCAGUGGUGAAAGUCUGGGGCUCAACCAUAGAAUUGCCGUGGAAACUGGGAGGCUUGAGUAUGUUGGAGGCAGGCGGAAUGCGUGGUGUAGCGGUGAAAUGCUUAGAUAUCACGCAGAACCCCGAUGGCGAAGGCAGCCUGCCAAGCCAUGACUGACGCUGAUGCACGAAAGCGUGGGGAUCAAACAGGAUUAGAUACCCCAGUAGUC
rnacentral:rRNA from 1 species